GAUGAACGCUGGCGGCGUGCCUAAUACAUGCGAGUCGAGCGAACAGACGAGGAGCUUGCUCCUCUGACGUUAGCGGCGGACGGGUGAGUAACACGUGGAUAACCUACCUAUAAGACUGGGAUAACUUCGGGAAACCGGAGCUAAUACCGGAUAAUAUAUUGAACCGCAUGGUUCAAUAGUGAAAGACGGUUUUGCUGUCACUUAUAGAUGGAUCCGCGCCGCAUUAGCUAGUUGGUAAGGUAACGGCUUACCAAGGCAACGAUGCGUAGCCGACCUGAGAGGGUGAUCGGCCACACUGGAACUGAGACACGGUCCAGACUCCUACGGGAGGCAGCAGUAGGGAAUCUUCCGCAAUGGGCGAAAGCCUGACGGAGCAACGCCGCGUGAGUGAUGAAGGUCUUCGGAUCGUGAAACUCUGUUAUUAGGGAAGAACAAAUGUGUAAGUAACUAUGCACGUCUUGACGGUACCUAAUCAGAAAGCCACGGCUAACUACGUG
rnacentral:rRNA from 1 species